rnacentral:rRNA from 1 species
UACGUAGGGGGCAAGCGUUGUCCGGAAUCAUUGGGCGUAAAGAGCGCGUAGGCGGCCCGGUAAGUCCGCUGUAAAAGUCCAGGGCUCAACCCUGGAAAGCCGGUGGAUACUGUCGGGCUAGAGUCCGGAAGAGGCGAGUGGAAUUCCUGGUGUAGCGGUGGAAUGCGCAGAUAUCAGGAGGAACACCGAUGGCGAAGGCAGCUCGCUGGGACGGUACUGACGCUGAGGCGCGAAAGCUAGGGGAGCAAACGGG